AUCAAUAACGUCAGAAAGUCUGCUUCUAACAAAGCAGUAGCAAUGAAAAAAAUACAAAAACUACAAUCAGAUCUAAAGUCUUCAUUGGCAUUCGAAGAGACUGGAACAAAUGGCCUUGGGGAUUCUAAGGAGGGUAGACAGGGGGAGAGAAAGAUAGACACCAGAAGACCUGUUUUGGAUGAUGCCCAGUUCCUACAGAGGCCUGUGGUUGUGGAUAAACCCACCAUAACCCCACCAGUAAAAGUUCCAGUCCACCUAUUUAAUGUUAUUCCAUCCAAUAAAUCUAAUAAGUCCAUUUCAGAAAAUGCAGUAUUUGCAAAGG